rnacentral:rRNA from 1 species
GAUGAACGCUGGCGGCAUGCCUAAUACAUGCAAGUCGAGCGAACGGACGAGAAGCUUGCUUCUCUGAUGUUAGCGGCGGACGGGUGAGUAACACGUGGAUAACCUACCUAUAAGACUGGGAUAACUUCGGGAAACCGGAGCUAAUACCGGAUAAUAUUUUGAACCGCAUGGUUCAAAAGUGAAAGACGGUCUUGCUGUCACUUAUAGAUGGAUCCGCGCUGCAUUAGCUAGUUGGUAAGGUAACGGCUUACCAAGGCAACGAUGCAUAGCCGACCUGAGAGGGUGAUCGGCCACACUGGAACUGAGACACGGUCCAGACUCCUACGGGAGGCAGCAGUAGGGAAUCUUCCGCAAUGGGCGAAAGCCUGACGGAGCAACGCCGCGUGAGUGAUGAAGGUCCUCGGAUCGUAAAACUCUGUUAUUAGGGAAGAACAUAUGUGUAAGUAACUGUGCACAUCUUGACGGUACCUAAUCAGAAAGCCACGGCUAACUACGUG